AUAUGCCUUUUGGUGGGGGACAACAGUUGGAAACGACUGCUAAUACCGCAUGAUGUCUACGGACCAAAGUGGGGGACCUUCGGGCCUCACGCCAAGAGAUUAGCCCAAGUGGGAUUAGCUAGUUGGUAAGGUAAUGGCUUACCAAGGCAACGAUCCCUAGCUGGUUUGAGAGGAUGAUCAGCCACACUGGGACUGAGACACGGCCCAGACUCCUACGGGAGGCAGCAGUGGGGAAUAUUGCACAAUGGGCGCAAGCCUGAUGCAGCCAUGCCGCGUGUGUGAAGAAGGCCUUCGGGUUGUAAAGCACUUUCAGUAAGGAGGAAAGGUUAAGUUUUAAUAGAGCUUAGCUGUGACGUUACUUACAGAAGAAGCACCGGCUAACUCCGUGCCAGCAGCCGCGGUAAUACGGAGGGUGCGAGCGUUAAUCGGAAUUACUGGGCGUAAAGCGUACGCAGGCGGUUUGUUAAGCGAGAUGUGAAAGCCCCGGGCUCAACCUGGGAACUGCAUUUCGAACUGGCAAACUAGAGUGUGAUAGAGGGUGGUAGAAUUUCAGGUGUAGCGGUGAAAUGCGUAGAGAUCUGAAGGAAUACCGAUGGCGAAGGCAGCCACCUGGGUCAACACUGACGCUCAUGUACGAAAGCGUGGGGAGCAAACAG
rnacentral:rRNA from 1 species